rnacentral:rRNA from 1 species
GACAGAGGGGGCAAGCGUUGCUCGGAAUUACUGGGCGUAAAGGGCGCGUAGGCGGGAUGGCAAGUCGGUCGUGAAAUCCUUCGGCUCAACCGAAGAACGUCGAUCGAUACUGCUGUUCUUGAGGGUUGCAGAGGAGACUGGAAUUCCCGGUGUAGCGGUGAAAUGUGUAGAGAUCGGGAGGAACACCGGUGGCGAAGGCAGCUCGCUGGGACGGUACUGACGCUGAGACGCGAAAGCGUGGGGAGCAAACAGG